UCUCUGUUUAUGUCCUUGAUUGUUUCCUUUGCUGUGAAGAAGCUUUUUAGUUUUAUUCCACCCCAUUUGUUGACUCUUGAUUUUACUUCUUAUGCUUUAGGAGUCUUGUUGAGGAAAUCAGUUCCUAAACCAACAUGAUAGAGAGUUGGGUCUACUUUUUCUUGUAUUAGGCAUAGGGUCUUUGUUCCUGUGUCUAAGUUCUUGAUCCAUGUUGAGUUAAAUUUUGUGCAGGGUGAAAGAUGGGGGUUUAAUUUCAUUUUACUAUAUAUGGCUUGCUAGUUUUGCCAGCACCAUUUGUUGAAGAGGCUAUCUUUUCUCCAAUGUAUGUUUUUGGGUCUUUGUCUAGUAUGAGAUAAUUGUAUUGAGUUUAUCUCUUGUGUCUUCUAUUCUGUACCAUUGGUCUAUGUAUGUGUUUUUGUACCAAUUCAAUGCCAUUUUUGUUACUAUGGCACUGUAGUAUAAUUUAAGGUCUGGUAAUGUGAUUCCUCCUGCUUCACUUUUCUUACUAAGGAUUGCUUUGGCUAUUUGGGGUCUCUUAUUGUUUCAAAUGAAUAUCAUGAUUGCUUUUCCCUUUAUACCAGUAUUCUGAGUUGGAAGAAAAAGGAAUUUAAUACUUGGUGUGUACAUAUGAUGAGGUUUUAAAAAAACAAAAGUUAUUACAGGUUUUCAGGCUUGAAAAGUCCAUUGAAGUAUCUUAUGAAUUUUUUGGUUUUAUUUAUUUAUUUAUUUAUUUAUUUUUGGUACUAGGGAUUGAAUUCAGGGCACAUGACCACUGAGCCAUAUCCCCAGCCUUAUUUUGUAUGUUUAGAGACAGGGUCUCACUGAAUUAUGUAGCACCUUGCUUUUGCUUUGAACUCAUUAUCCUCCUGCCUCAGUCUCCCAAGCCCCUGGGAUUACAGGCGUGCGCCACUGCACCUGAUUAUCCUACAGGUUUUAUAAUCUCUGAACACAUAAAUAUUAUUCUCCAUAACCCAUUGAAACAAAAAGCUCUGGGGAUCUUUUGUUAUUCUUUUUUUUUUGAAUUUUUUUUAGUUAUACAUGUGCACAAUAUCUUUAUUUUGUUCAUUUAUUUUUAUGUGGUGCUGAGCAUUGAACCCAGUGCCUCAUAUGUGCAAGGCAAGCCCUCUGCUACUGAGCCACAACCCCAGCACUGUUUUGUUAUUCUUAUUAUGAAAGUUGGAAAGGUUCUGGAGGCCAAAAAAGUUAGAUGACCACUGGGGGUUAUGCCCAGGUGUGACUGGCUUAUUUCUUGCUCUGACCCCAAAAGGAACCACUGUGAUGGAAUUUCAAAUACUGGCUAUAUAAUGAAGGUGUCUGCAGCUGGGAUUUUGUCUAUAAUUACAAAAAGAUUUUGGUGGUGAACCUUCAGAAUCCCAGAUAGUGCAUUUAGUGGUUGUUGGUUAGUGAUUUGGUGUUUUGCUAUUGGUUUUUUAAUUUUGGGUUUUUGUUUUGUCUUUUUGUUUUUGGUCUUUUGUUUAUUUGUUUGUUUUUAAGCUAGUAUUCUUAACUGGAUUCUGACUUAGGAUGUGUAGUCAGAGUAGUGUAGUGCUGCAGGGGACCAGCUCCUGCUAUGAGAUGGCUCCCCAGACCAUUAUGAUGUCCUGAGGGUCACUUGGCAAGGGGGCUUUGGCCAGUGAUACUAGCCUACCAUCUUCUCAACAGGGCAGAGGUCAUAGUGAAAGUUGUGCUGAAGACAGAAGGGAAUGUUCCUGUCCUGUCAGAACCUGAUAGAUAGGUUCCUGGCCCUGGAACACGGAAACAUGAUUCAGCACUUCCAGAUUAUCAAGACCAUGCACAGUAUCUACCUGGUCAUGGAGCAUGCAGGUCGGGGAGAGCUAUGGUAGAGUAUCCCUACUGCAGUGGCCUGCAAUAGGAGAAGGCCCUCAGAGUGUUCAGGCAGAUCGUGUGUGCCACAUGCCGCUGCCAUGAGAAGAAGGGCAUCGUGUAGCUCCACCUGAAGCUGGAGCAUGUGGUGGAUGUCAGAGGUAAUGUCAAAUUCAUUGACGUUGGCCUUAGCACCAGGUUCAUGCCUGGGUAGAAGCUGAACAGGUUCUGGGGCAUUCUCCCAUACUGUGCCCCUGAAAUCGUCCAGGUGCAAGAAUAUGAGGGUUCCCCAGCAAACUUCUGGAGGCUGCAUGUCACUCUCUAUCUAUGCUCACAGGAAGAUGCCCAUUUAAGGCAAGCACCACUAAGCAGCUGCAGAAGCUGAUCAUGCAGGCAAGCUACGACAUUCCCCUGCACCUUUUGGAGGGAGCACUGAGCCUCAUCCAGCAGAUGCUGAUGCUGGACCCCUUGCAGAGGCCUACUCUAGAGCAGCUUUGUUGCUACAUGCCGUGCUUCUGCAGGCUGACCUUAAGAAGAAGAGUGGCUCCAAUGGAAGGUGGCCACAGAUAAUCUUGGUUCUGUAACAGAGUGGCUCCAGUGGACAUGCAUACAUGAGACAAACAGAUCAAUGGACAGCCAGAAGACCCUGAGCUCUGAGCAUCCUGAUAUCAUGAAGUGGGCAUCGGUCAGGAGUGAACUCAAACAGCUUCAGCAAUGAGGUGUGCCAGCUGGCUUGGGCUUGUCCAAGUGGAUUCCAGCCAAGAGUCUGUCUGGAUCCACCAGGACAGUCCUCUGUCCCCACCUGCCACAGACAUCAGAGACUCUUUUCCCUGGAACACUUCCCCCUGCCCUAUUUUCCUCUGGCCUUCCUUCUGUGCUUCUGGGAGAGAAGAGAUGGUUCUUAAUAAAUUUCUGUUUCUUACAACUUGUAUAAUA